rnacentral:rRNA from 1 species
GAUCACUGCUAUUGGAAUUCGGCUAAGGCAUGCGAGUCGGGAGGGUUCGGCCCUCGGCAGACGGCUCAGUAACACGUGGACAAUCUGCCCUUAGGUGGGGGAUAAUCUCGAGAAAUUGAGCAUAAUACCCCAUAGUUCUAGAUUGCUGGAAUGCUUUUAGAAUGAAAGCCUUGGCGCCUAAGGAUGAGUCUGCGGCCUAUCAGGUUGUAGUGAGUGUAACGGACUCACUAGCCGACGACGGGUACGGGUCCUGAAAGGGAGUGCCCGGAGAUGGACUCUGAGACACGAGUCCAGGCCCUACGGGGCGCAGCAGCUACGAAAACUUCACAAUGCGGGGAACCGCGAUGAGGGAAUUCCAAGUGCUUAUACUUUGUAUAAGCUGUUUACUUGCCUAAAAAGCAGGUAGAGUAAGGGCUGGGUAAGACUGGUGCCAGCCGCCGCGGUAAUACCAGCAGCUCGAGUGGUGAUCGUUUUAUUGGGCCUAAAGCGUCCGUAGCCGGUCUAGUAAACCCUUGGGUAAAUCGGGCAGCUUAACUGUUCGAAUUCUGAGGAGACUGCUAGACUUGGGACCGGGAGAGGUCAGAGGUACUCUUAGGGUAGGGGUGAAAUCCUGUAAUCCUAAGAGGACCACCAGUGGCGAAGGCGUCUGACUAGAACGGGUCCGACGGUAAGGGACGAAGCCCUGGGUCACGAACCGGAUUAGAUACCCGGGUAGUCCAGGGUGUAAACGCUGCGGGCUUGGUGUUGGGGGUCCUACGAGGGCGUCCAGUGCCGGAGAGAAGUUGUUAAGCCCGCCGCCUGGGGAGUACGGUCGCAAGACUGAAACUUAAAGGAAUUGGCGGGGGAGCACAGCAACGGGUGGAGCGUGCGGUUUA